rnacentral:RNase_P_RNA from 1 species
GGAGCCGGCCAGGCAAUCGCUGCCGCGCGCCUUCAGGCGCGGUGGAGGAAAGUCCGGGCUCCGGCAGAUCGAGGUGCCAGGUAACGCCUGGGGGGCGCGAGCCCACGGAAAGUGCAACAGAAAGCAAACCGCCUAAGCCCGACAAGGGCCGGUAAGGGUGAAACGGUGCGGUAAGAGCGCACCGCGGCCUUGGUAACAAGGACGGCACGGCAAACCCCACCUGGAGCAAGGCCAAAUAGGGAGGCAGCGCCCAGCACAGCUACUGUGAGAGGGCGCAGCGCCGGUCUGCGCGCGUCUCCGGGUAGGCCGCUUGAGGUCCGCGGCGACGCGGAUCCCAGAGGAAUGAUUGUCCUCGACAGAACCCGGCUUAUCGGCCGGCUCCCGCC